rnacentral:tRNA from 1 species
UCCCUGGUGGUCCAGUGGCUAAGACUCUGCACAUUCCCAGUGCAGAGGGCCCAAGUUCGAUCCCUGGUUGGGGAA